rnacentral:rRNA from 1 species
UACGUAGGUGGCGAGCGUUGUCCGGAUUUACUGGGCGUAAAGCGCGCGCAGGCGGUUCUGUAAGUCCUGGGUGAAAUCGCCCGGCUCAACUGGGCGGGGGCCUGGGGGACUGCGGGACUGGAGGGGCCUAGAGGCCGGUGGAACUCCCGGUGUAGUGGUGAAAUGCGUAGAGAUCGGGAAGAACACCGGUGGCGAAGGCGGUCUGCUGGGGUAAUGCUGACACUGAUGCGCGACAGCGUGGGGAGCAAACAGG